rnacentral:lncRNA from 1 species
CAAAAAUGUCUCAGUUUAAUAGCUGUUUGCAUAAAGCUGCUAGAUGUAAAUAGCUAGGAGCUUGCAAACAUCAGGAUUUAAAAUUAAUUAAUUUAAAAGAUACCUCCUGAGCCUUGUUUACCAAACAAGCUAAGAACUUUUCUCUUUCUAGUAGCUUAACCUGUGGAGGAGGUCUUGUCUCUUCUGCUUCCCAAGCCCUCCAGCUUGUUCCACAUUGAGACGUGUGAUGCCCAGCAUGUUGCAAUGGCCUACACUGCAGCUCUACUCUCUGGCUGUGUUACCUCCAGACCACCCAGCAAUCCCUGGCCCCUGCUUUAAAACCGCUCCAUAAAGCCCAAUGUGGUUUCAGCCAGCAGCAUGCUAUCUAAGUGGUGAGCAGAAAGAGCACAGAAAUGCCCGGCGUUGUCAGCGCUUCCCUCGGCAUUGUGCUCGUGGUUCUGCUGCUGCUUCUGCCUGCCGUGGUCUCUGUGGGGAAAAAGGCAAAGUCUUGUUACAGCACUAGCUACUUGUGAUUUGCCUGUUGCCAUUGGCAGAGGAAGAUGAGCUUCAAAGCACAGCAUCGAAGGCACACAUCCUCCCCCUAAAGCUCAGAGGAGAUCCAGUUGCCAGCCCAGCCCUGUUUUCUACCAAUACUCACAUGUCCCAACUCCGACUCUUCUCCAGUAUUUCUGUACUGCAGGUGAGUCUGGGCCUUUCUCAUAUUCUGCUAGCAGGGUGGAGGUAAAGUCAUGUGUAUGAUUUCCAGCCCUGGAGUGCCUGACACAGAGGGCUGAGGCUGGGGAGGCAGCGAUGCCGUCCUCCUGCAUUGGGUGGCAGCAAGCCUGCAGAACACCUCUGAGGGCCAGACCUUCUCUCAUGGUGUGCUGAACAAAAUCACGGGGCUGAGGAAGGGGAUUUUGUUUGUUGCCUCUUUUUUUUUUUCUUUUCUUUCUAAGAACUUUAAAUUGGUGGUGUGGAAAACAUUUCACCGAAAUCUAUACUUACUCUGUAAGAAUGAAUCAAGAUUCUUGAGCC